UUUGGUGAUGAUGCGCUUUUUGGAAACACCCGUUCCCAUACCGAACACGAUGGUUAAGCUUAAAGCGGUCAACGGUACUUAGUUGGAGACGACUAGGGAGAAUAGAUGGUUGCCAAAU
rnacentral:rRNA from 1 species